GCAGGAGGAGAGACGAUGGAGCUGCGUUACCUGAUUCUAUCAGCCACCACUGAAAAUGACCUUCAGGGACACCCGGCUCAGCGGUCAUAAAAUGGAAAAUGUGGUCAAUUCCUUGAUGACGAGACACCAAUCAGCAAGUCUGAACCUGUGGACAGGCUGAAUCGAUGCUGUCCAGACGUGGAGAUGAAAGCUGUCAAAGCUGGCUGCCAGUGAACAGACGUGCUUGGGGCUGAUGGAGGUGUUUCCAUCUGGAAAAAGCCCACGGAUGACCUCCAAGAUGAUCUUACAGGUCUGUGCUGUCCAGUGGAAGGAACUGAGGCGAUGAUGUACGUUGCCAGGUGUGCUGCCUGGUUAAUGUCCAGUGGGAGGAACCGAAGCAGUGAUGUAUGUUGCCAGGUCUGUGCUGUCCAGUGGAAGGAAGUUUCCUUUCAACCUAAAGGUCAACUGGAUGACGAGCGCUUCUGUCAGCUGUAACGGACAAUUUUUUUUGUUUUUAAAUUUCAUUUUGUUUUUAUCAGGAGAUAAAAACCGAGCAGACCAGCUGCAGACAGUUUUUUUUUUUUUCUCCCCCACAGUGUAAAAAUGCCAACUCAUGACAUCAUUGGUAUCUGAAGAUGUAACUGAAGAAAUAAAAGGGGAAAACUGCAAA